rnacentral:lncRNA from 1 species
UGUACGUGUGCAAAUGAGAGGAGAAGUGUUCGUGUGCAAGUGAAGGGAUAAAAAGGUGUAUGUGUGCAAAUGAGAGGAGAAGUGAAAGUAUAAAAUGAUAAAGUGGAUUAAAAAAUGCAUGAGCCUAGGGAAUUCAUGCAUAUUGGGUACGGGGAGACCUAAAUCGUGACUUAAUUUGCCCUUUUAUAGAGGGAAUACAAGCGUGCUAAGGCUUAGAAAAAGCCACACUCGUCUAUAUCCCAUAUUUAAGGGGACUCUCAAUCAAAUGAACCCUAUAGCUAGCAUGAAAUGCAAAAAUCCUAAAAUGGAGGGAAAAGGGGUUCGAGGGGCAUGCAAAAUGAUAAAACUAAAAAGAAUGCAUGACAUGUAAUGAACAUGCAAAUAUGUGCUAACGAGGGGAAAUCCCUAAGGGUCUAGCGUUGGACUAGCCCAUUCUAUGAAUUCCGACUAGCGUUGGACUAGUGGAAACGUCCAUUCAUCCAUCACAUUCAUUCAGGCUAUGGAAAGCGAGUAGACAUGCCAAACACUCAUAAACACAUAGCACAUAACACUUAGCAUGCUCGACUAGAUGCAAGGUCCUAACAAAGCAAAUUAACACGUAGCAACUAAGCAUGCAAGACACAUAAGACAAUUAAACCCCUAACUAUUACAUUUGCUAGCUAGGCACACGUCUUCGAUAGGUCUUCAUUGAAUGCUCCUCCAAGCCCUAUCUAUUACAUUCACUAACUAAAACAAAAGGGGGAAAGGGAAAAUGGACCAAAUUGCUCGCCAAAGCCCUAUCUAUUACAAGCCAAGAGGUGUACACAUACCCCAUUAAAAGAAUAACUUAAUGAAAACAAAAAGUAAAUGACAUGAGUAAAAGGAAUUAAAGAAAAACUAGGAAAGCAAAGUAGACAUGUAAUUCACUUAGCACAUUGGAUCACAUAGGAGAGACAAAAAGAUAAAAGAGAUUAUACCGCCCCCUUGGAAU